UGGGGAAUAUUGCACAAUGGGCGCAAGCCUGAUGCAGCCAUGCCGCGUGUAUGAAGAAGGCCUUCGGGUUGUAAAGUACUUUCAGUCAGGAGGAAGGUGUCAAGGUUAAUAACCUUGGCAAUUGACGUUACCGACAGAAGAAGCACCGGCUAACUCCGUGCCAGCAGCCGCGGUAAUACGGAGGGUGCAAGCGUUAAUCGGAAUUACUGGGCGUAAAGCGCACGCAGGCGGUUGAUUGAGUCAGAUGUGAAAUCCCCGGGCUUAACCCGGGAAUUGCAUCUGAUACUGGUCAGCUAGAGUCUUGUAGAGGGGGGUAGAAUUCCAUGGGUAGCGGUGAAAUGCGUAGAGAUGUGGAGGAAUACCGGUGGCGAAGGCGGCCCCCUGGACAAAGACUGACGCUCAGGUGCGAAAGCGUGGGGAGCAAACAGG
rnacentral:rRNA from 1 species